AAUCAACGCUGGCGGCGUGCCUCAGACAUGCAAGUCGAACGAUUAAAGCUCUCUUCGGAGAGUGUAUAGAGUGGCGCACGGGUGAGUAACACGUAAGUAAUCUACCUUUGAGUGGGGAAUAACAGUCGGAAACGGCUGCUAAUACCGCAUAAUGCAGCGGCAUCGCAAGAUGACAGUUGUUAAAGGAGCAAUCCGCUUAAAGAGGAGCUUGCGGCAGAUUAGCUUGUUGGUAAGGUAACGGCUUACCAAGGCUACGAUCUGUAUCCGGUCUAAGAGGACGGUCGGACACACUGACACUGAAUAACGGGUCAGACUCCUACGGGAGGCAGCAGUCGGGAAUUUUGGGCAAUGGGCGAAAGCCUGACCCAGCAACGCCGCGUGAAGGAUGAAGUAAUUUCGGUAUGUAAACUUCGAAAGAAUAGGAAGAAUAAAUGACGGUACUAUUUAUAAGCUCCGGCUAACUACGUGCCAGCAGCCG
rnacentral:rRNA from 1 species